CCUACGGGUGGCAGCAGUAGGGAAUUUUGCGCAAUGGGCGAAAGCCUGACGCAGCAACGCCGCGUGAUUGAUUAAGCCCUUCGGGGUGUAAAGAUCUGUCAGUGGGGACGAAACUUGACGGUACCCACAGAGGAAGCCCCGGCUAACUACGUGCCAGCAGCCGCGGUAAUACGUAGGGGGCAAGCGUUAUCCGGAUUUACUGGGUGUAAAGGGAGCGUAGACGGCAGCACAAGUCUGGAGUGAAAUGUCGGGGCUUAACCCCGGAACUGCUUUGGAAAUUGUGCAGCUAGAGUGCAGGAGAGGUAAGUGGAAUUCCUAGUGUAGCGGUGAAAUGCGUAGAUAUUAGGAGGAACACCAGUGGCGAAGGCGGCUUACUGGACUGUAACUGACGUUGAGGCUCGAAAGCGUGGGGAGCAAACAGGAUUAGAUACCCUAGUAGUC
rnacentral:rRNA from 1 species